GAUCAUUCCUUGGAUAGCUCAGUUGGUAGAGCAUGCGACUGUUAAUCUCAGGAUUGUGGGUUUGAGCCCCACUUUGGUCA